rnacentral:rRNA from 1 species
CCCUUAGAUGUCCUGGGCCGCACGCGCGCUACACUGAUGCAUGCAACGAGUUUAUAACCUUGGCCGAGAGGCCUGGGCAAUCUUGUUAACGUGCAUCGUGAUAGGGAUAGAUUAUUGAAAUUAUUAAUCUUGAACGAGGAAUUCCUAGUAAACGCAGAUCAUCAAUCUGCAUUGAUUACGUCCCUGCCCUUUGUACACACCGCCCGUCGCACCUACCGAUUGGAUGGUCCGGUGAAGCCUCGGGAUUGUGGUUCUUGCCGCUUUAUUGUGGCGUGACCGCGAGAACUUGUCUAAACCUUAUCAUCUAGAGGAAGGUGAAGCCGUAACA